GGGCGAAUGGUUUAGUGGUAUAAUACUCCCUUAGCAUGUUCCGUACAAAGACAUCUGGGAGUGGUCCAGGGUUCGAUUCCCUGUUCGUCCA